rnacentral:misc_RNA from 1 species
UGAAGCCCGUUGAAGACUACGACGUUGAUAGGCGAGGUGUGGAAGCGCAGUAAUGCGUGAAGCUAACUCGUACUAAUUGGCUGAUUGUCUUGACCAUAUAACCUGAUACGCUUCAGGUUAUAGCAAUAACAUGAAUGUGACUCUAUUUUUUACCGGCCUCAUGGCCAGACGGUUAACACCGUUGCCACCAUGACGCUUAAACCGUUUUCCUGGCGACCAUAGCAGUCUGGAACCACCUGAAUCCAUC